UACAACCUGAACUCAGACGUGAUUACCCGCCGAA
rnacentral:rRNA from 1 species